CCUACGGGAGGCAGCAGUGGGGAAUAUUGCACAAUGGGCGCAAGCCUGAUGCAGCGACGCCGCGUGAGGGAUGACGGCCUUCGGGUUGUAAACCUCUUUCAGUAGGGAAGAAGCGAGAGUGACGGUACCUGCAGAAGAAGCGCCGGCUAACUACGUGCCAGCAGCCGCGGUAAUACGUAGGGCGCAAGCGUUAUCCGGAUUUAUUGGGCGUAAAGAGCUCGUAGGCGGUUUGUCGCGUCUGCCGUGAAAGUCCGAGGCUCAACCUCGGAUCUGCGGUGGGUACGGGCAGACUAGAGUGAUGUAGGGGAGACUGGAAUUCCUGGUGUAGCGGUGAAAUGCGCAGAUAUCAGGAGGAACACCGAUGGCGAAGGCAGGUCUCUGGGCAUUUACUGACGCUGAGGAGCGAAAGCAUGGGGAGCGAACAGGAUUAGAUACCCUGGUAGUCCAUGCCGUAAACGUUGGGCACUAGGUGUGGGGGACGAUUCCACGUUUUCCGCGCCGUAGCUAACGCAUUAAGUGCCCGCCUGGGGAGGACGGCGCGAAGACGUAAACGUUACGAAGAAGUUAGAGGCGNGNGACGNGCGACGGCGACGACGAGGGAGGAGG
rnacentral:rRNA from 1 species